rnacentral:rRNA from 1 species
GACGAACGCUGGCGGCGUGCCUAAUACAUGCAAGUAGAACGCACAGUUUAUACCGUAGCUUGCUACACCAUAGACUGUGAGUUGCGAACGGGUGAGUAACGCGUAGGUAACCUGCCUGGUAGCGGGGGAUAACUAUUGGAAACGAUAGCUAAUACCGCAUAAUAUUGAUUAUUGCAUGAUAAUUGAUUGAAAGAUGCUAUUGCAUCACUACCAGAUGGACCUGCGUUGUAUUAGCUAGUAGGUGAGGUAACGGCUCACCUAGGCGACGAUACAUAGCCGACCUGAGAGGGUGAUCGGCCACACUGGGACUGAGACACGGCCCAGACUCCUACGGGAGGCAGCAGUAGGGAAUCUUCGGCAAUGGACGAAAGUCUGACCGAGCAACGCCGCGUGAGUGAAGAAGGUUUUCGGAUCGUAAAGCUCUGUUGUAAGAGAAGAACGGGUGUGAGAGUGGAAAGUUCACACUGUGACGGUAUCUGACCAGAAAGGGACGGCUAACUACGCG